UACGUAGGGCGCAAGCGUUGUCCGGAAUUAUUGGGCGUAAAGAGCUCGUAGGCGGUUUGUCGCGUCUGCCGUGAAAGCCCGGGGCUUAACUCCGGGUCUGCGGUGGAUACGGGCAGACUAGAGGCAGGUAGGGGAGAACGGAAUUUCCGGUGGAGCGGUGAAAUGCGUAGAGAUCGGAAAGAACACCAACGGCGAAAGCACUCUGCUGGGCCGACACUGACACUGAGAGACGAAAGCUAGGGGAGCGAAUGGG
rnacentral:rRNA from 1 species